rnacentral:rRNA from 1 species
UGGGGAAUAUUGCACAAUGGACGGAAGUCUGAUGCAGCAACGCCGCGUGCGGGAUGACAGCCUUCGGGUUGUAAACCGCUUUUUCUCAUGACGAAGUUUUUUGACGGUAGUGGGGGAAGAAGCACCGGCUAACUACGUGCCAGCAGCCGCGGUGAUACGUAGGGUGCGAGCGUUGUCCGGAAUUAUUGGGCGUAAAGAGCUUGUAGGCGGUUUGUCGCGUCGAUAGUGCAAACUCAGUGCUUAACGCUGAGCCUGCUGUUGAUACGGGCAGACUAGAGGAAGGUAGGGGAGAAUGGAAUUCCCGGUGGAGCGGUGGAAUGCGCAGAUAUCGGGAGGAACACCGGUGGCGAAGGCGGUUCUCUGGGCCUUUCCUGACGCUGAGAAGCGAAAGCGUGGGGAGCGAACAGG